rnacentral:rRNA from 1 species
CCUGUAGCGACUGCGGAGACAUUA